rnacentral:lncRNA from 10 species
GGAGGUGCUGGGCAGCAGCCACGUGGAGCCUAGCAGAAGGUGGCAGGGAGGCCAUGGACUCGCUCACCAUAGCCUACCCCAUACCCCCCAGGGCACUGCGUGGACCUGCCAGACACAGGACUCUGCAAGGAGAGCAUCCCGCGCUGGUACUACAACCCCUUCAGCGAACACUGCGCCCGCUUUACCUAUGGUGGUUGUUACGGCAACAAGAACAACUUUGAGGAAGAGCAGCAGUGCCUCGAGUCUUGUCGCGGCAUCUCCAAGAAGGAUGUGUUUGGCCUGAGGCGGGAAAUCCCCAUUCCCAGCACAGGCUCUGUGGAGAUGGCUGUCGCAGUGUUCCUGGUCAUCUGCAUUGUGGUGGUGGUAGCCAUCUUGGGUUACUGCUUCUUCAAGAACCAGAGAAAGGACUUCCACGGACACCACCACCACCCACCACCCAC